rnacentral:rRNA from 1 species
GAUGAACGCUGGCGGCGUGCCUAAUACAUGCAAGUCGAGCGAACGGACGAGAAGCUUGCUUCUCUGAUGUUAGCGGCGGACGGGUGAGUAACACGUGGAUAACCUACCUAUAAGACUGGGAUAACUUCGGGAAACCGGAGCUAAUACCGGAUAAUAUUUUGAACCGCAUGGUUCAAAAGUGAAAGACGGUCUUGCUGUCACUUAUAGAUGGAUCCGCGCUGCAUUAGCUAGUUGGUGAGGUAACGGCUUACCAAGGCAACGAUGCAUAGCCGACCUGAGAGGGUGAUCGGCCACACUGGAACUGAGACACGGUCCAGACUCCUACGGGAGGCAGCAGUAGGGAAUCUUCCGCAAUGGGCGAAAGCCUGACGGAGCAACGCCGCGUGAGUGAUGAAGGUCUUCGGAUCGUAAAACUCUGUUAUUAGGGAAGAACAGAUGUGUAAGUAACUGUGCACAUCUUGACGGUACCUAAUCAGAAAGCCACGGCUAACUACGU